GACGAACCGUGCGAACGUUGUUCGGAAUCACUGGGCUUAAAGGGCGCGUAGGCGGUUUGCCAAGUCGGGGUUGAAAUCUUUCGGCUUAACCGGAAAAGUGGCUUCGAUACUGGCAAGCUGGAGGGAGGUAGGGGCGGAUGGAACUUCCGGUGGAGCGGUGAAAUGUGUUGAUAUCGGAAGGAACGCCGGUGGCGAAAGCGAUCCGCUGGACCUCUUCUGACACUGAGGCGCGAAAGCCAGGGGAGCAAACGGG
rnacentral:rRNA from 1 species